AGGAAGUUCAUGAAAAAUUCCUGCUGUCGGGAUAACAAAAAGUUAGUUUAUAUCUGGUUAAUAGCCGUGCGGACUGAAGGGGGAACUUUCUCCCACUGACACACAGCUGAAAUGCUGUGUUGCCACAGAUUUAAUCUCCAGUCAUUAUGGGAUGUCAGUGUGACAAAUGUUCCCCCACAUUUAAGCCUCAAUAUUCUGUCAUUUUUGGGGACGAAUGACUUGAAACAAAUCAAAAACUGUGGGAAUAAUGAAAUUUCCAGUGGAGACGGGAUUGUAAUCACUGUGAAUAUCAAUAACAUCCAUCGGGGGAAGUAGAUGCCGAGGCUGGGAGUAAGGAUGACAGAUGAAGAGCUCGUCGUUUUUAUUACCAGACGGAGGAAGGAAACCAACGAUCCAGUGGCAGAAAAGCUUUUUGGUCUCACACCACGAUACCUGUGACUUGAUGAGCGGAUGGAUGAUCACAUGACUACAUGCAUACAAAGAGCUACAAGUCACAAGUGCAGCAUUCUUUUUUCAAAUAACACGCUCAGGCCGGUGGCGUCCCACUUCUCGAGCCCGCUUUGAUCUGGUUUCAGAGCAACUUUGGAGCAUGUAGAAGACAUGGGGGCCGAGGUCAAUUCACUAACACUUCAGUCCUUUCAAAUUCAACAGUCACUUGUUUCCUAAUUGUUUGUUUCUUUUUCAGUUGUAAAAGAAGCCAUUUUCAAAAUAAAAGUCCUGACAUGAAAGCAAACUGACCCCCACCCUGGCAAGGCGUCAAUGAGGAUGGCUUUGGCUGGUUGGUCAGAGCUGAAAAUGUGUUUCGUCUUGAAAAAAGUAUACUGCAUCUUUAAAAAAAUAAAAACAAAAAUAAUAAAAAAA